GCACCCGUAGCUCAGCUGGAUAGAGCGCUGCCCUCCGAAGGCAGAGGUCAAGAGUUCGAAUCUCUUCGGGUGCGCCA
rnacentral:tRNA from 9 species